UACGUAGGGGGCAAGCGUUGUCCGGAUUUAUUGGGCGUAAAGAGCGUGUAGGCGGCCAGACAAGUCUGCUGUGAAAACUCGAGGCUCAACCUCGAGCUGUCGGUGGAAACUGUCUGGCUAGAGUCCGGAAGAGGAGAGUGGAAUUCCUGGUGUAGCGGUGAAAUGCGCAGAUAUCAGGAAGAACACCCGUGGCUAAGGCGGCUCUCUAGUACGGUACUGACGCUGAGACGCGAAAGCGUGGGGAGCGAACAGG
rnacentral:rRNA from 1 species